rnacentral:siRNA from 1 species
UGGCUAAGGUAAAGGUCAAGAGAC